rnacentral:rRNA from 1 species
GGUAUUGAAUAAGGCUUUAAUGAGUGCUAAGAGAAUGGUUGAACAAUUAUAGGCUUUCUUUAAUUAAUAAAUUGAAGUUAAUGUUUUUUGUGAAGAAGCAGGAAUAAAGAUUAGGGACAAGAAGACCCUAUGAAUUUUUUAUUUUUAAAAUUAAAAAUUUUUAAAUUAAAAAUUUAAUUGGGGUGAUGAGAAAAGAAUAAUUAUCUUUUUUUUAUGAGUUAAUUUGACCCAUUAAUAGUGAUUAGAUGAUCAAAAUACUCUAGGGAUAACAGCGUAAUAAUUUCGGAUAGUUCAUAUAGAUGAAAUAGUUUGCGACCUCGAUGUUGGAUUAGGAUACUUUUUUGGUGGAGAAAU